UCCCCCGGCAAUGGGAAAAGAGAUACCUUGUUAGUGGUGGUGCUCUUAUAUCAGUCAGGAGCAGGGCAGAUGGCAGGCCUUUGUUCAUGCUAUCUUGAUGCCUGCCUUGGUGGCCAAAGCUGUUUUAUAGUAAGGACAGAUAA